rnacentral:rRNA from 1 species
UACGAAGGGGGCUAGCGUUGUUCGGAAUUACUGGGCGUAAAGCGCAUGUAGGCGGCGAUUCAAGUCGGGGGUGAAAUCCCAGGGCUCAACCCUGGAACUGCCUUCGAUACUGUAUUGCUAGAGUAUGGAAGAGGUAGGUGGAACUGCGAGUGUAGAGGUGAAAUUCGUAGAUAUUCGCAAGAACACCAGUGGCGAAGGCGGCCUACUGGUCCAUCACUGACGCUGAGAUGCGAAAGCGUGGGGAGCAAACAGG